AGAAAGGUAGGCUGUAGUGCGACAUCUGCUCUGCCACGUUUCUGCUAUGGUGGUGCCGUGGUGGUGUGACUAAUCAUCAGAGAUAAGUAGCAAACCGUCAACCACCAGGGAGACGAGCCAGGCAAGUUUAUUUUCAUCUCGCUAUCUCCCUGAUAUUGGUGUCUAGAUUGAAGAUUAUGCAUCAGCGACAAGUAACGACCGCCCGGAAAGAGAGCCAGAAAAAAGGGCAGGAAAUCGCCACCGCCCGCCCCUAUUUGAGCAGCCGCUUGUUCCUUCCGCGUCCUCGCUGCUCCUCAAUUCGAUUGGCUCCGUGCCGACCUCCAGGUUGAGAAGGAAAGCAUCGCGAGUUCGCCAUACGGAUGGGUUCCAAAGCGCCUUUCUGUCUCACGCUCCUCUUGCUGCUCGCUGCGGCCUGUGGACCUGCAGCACAUGCCCACGAUGCUGUCGAGCUCCCGCAUCAUGGCUUAGCCUUGAAGGAACAAAUUUCUUCAACCAAGAUUCCUGCCCGUCUCAAGAGUGGCAGCGGACUAUGCUCGGCCUGUGAAAACUUCACGAGCGAAGCCGUCACUUAUCUCGGCAAGGAACAGACACAGGACAGGAUCAUGGAGUUCCUUCAUGAUGCUUGCUCCCAAUCAUUCUCCUUUGAACAGAAGUGUGUCGAGCUGAUGGACUCUUAUGCGACUCUCCUGUUUGCCAAGAUCACGGAGAUCAGACCGGAAGCGUUCUGCAAACGGUAUGGCCUGUGCAGGGACACAGCUCUUCUCUCCGGUGUGGGAAGUGACAGCACGUGUGUGUUCUGCCACCAUCUGCUCGAUGAAAUCAUGUCCAAACUGAAAGAUCCAGAUGCGGAGUUUGAGAUAAUUCAGAUUCUUGUCAAGGAGUGCAAUAAGAUCGAAGGUCACGUCCAGCAGGUAGGCUUUUUGGCUCUUCCUCUGUCCUUGUGAUUCUGUGCAAAAGGCGAGCUCGUCCUCUUCCUUAAUGAGGUUCUUAAGAGUGUUUCCUCAGCUGUAUUGGUUACCCUUACUACUUUGGAUUUUGGAAACAGUCCGAGACCCUUAUUAGUUAACAAUAUCAUAGUUGUUGCAAAGAUACUCUACUUUUUUUCAUCAUCUCUUCUUUACCAUUCAUAUCUCCCAGUUGUUGCAAGGGAAAAUUAACUCCAGUAAUUCUUUCUUGAGGGGUAGAACAGGAGUGUCGUUCUCAGAUUCAAUGAUUAUCAAACAACAUGUACUAAUUAUAUUUUAGCAAGCUGGCAGUUGAUGUGAUUCUCUAUGUUUACAUUUUGUCAAAUUAACGACAAGAGGGUUAAGUUUUAGAAGCAACUACCCUGCACUGGUUAAUAAUAUCUGUGAGGACCCAAGUUGGUCCCAGUCCUCUUCGAUUGGUGCUCUGUUCCUGUGAUUUGAGGAAAGUUUCAGUACAACACAUUGUAUUUUGAUUAGUGAAUGAAGCAUUUAGACGAUAUUGUUGCAGGUUGAGCAGAUAGUGGUUGAAAGGUCUGAAGGUUGGCAUUGUGGAUAUUUUUGCUAUCAUGCAUGGAUUCCCAGACAAUGUGAGGACGAACCAGAAGGGCGAGUUCUGGGUGGCGAUCCACUGUCGGAGAAGUAUGUAUCCUCGGCUAAUGAGCUGCCAUGUCAAGCUGAGGAAGUUUUUGCUCAGCUUCCCAAUCCCUGCCAAGUACCACUACCUGAUGCAUAUCGAUAGCAAGCUCUACGCGUUGAUCAUCAGGGACAGCCCGAUGGCCAGAUGCUUCACAUCAUGGAGGACGACAAGGGAGAGGUGGUGAGAGUUAUCAUCGAAGUGGAGGGUCUGUCUGAUGCCAUUCAUCGCUGUCUUUGACCUCGUGAAGGCGUCUUAGCCACUUCAAUUUGAUUGGAAAUAUUGUUGUUUUAAGAUACGGGUCCAUGGUUAAUGUUGUACGCUUCUCUGAGAAGACCUGUCAUUCCAAUAAUUUGGUUCUGGAGCAACCUGGAGCUGUAUACUGAUCUAGCUUCUUUUAGUAACAAAUGUAAGUUGCUCACAUUUUCUUUAGAUUGUCUAUAGAACUUUGAACAA